UAGGUAGCACGCUAUCCGCUUCGUUUAUUUCAUUUAGAUAUAAACUUAGCUGGAAAUGUGAAUCAAUUAGGAUUCGAACUAGAAACCUCGGGUACCAAUCACCAAGCCCUUUACCACUUGCUCUAGGAAUAGUCGGUCUCUCACCAAAUUUGUUAUAUAGCACUUUAUAUUGUAUAGUAUUUACUUCUCACAUUUUCGACUGGUAUUUGAUUAUGAUACCAAAUUGUCACUAUCUGAGUACUCUGGA
rnacentral:lncRNA from 1 species